UGAGGAGAAGUCUUUACCACACACAAACAAAAUUGCAAAGAUGAAGGCAUAUUUUAUUCUAUGCAUUGUCUUGGCUUCCAUUCUCUUCUUUCCCUCUUCACUUCUAGCUCGUGAAUUAGCUGCUGGUCAUCAGGGUUCAGGAAACGCUAAUAACCCAACAAUUCCAUGUAAGGGUGGCAAGGGUAACGCAUACUGCAACAACCCGAAACCGAAACCGAAGUGUAACAAGUAUGAGCGCCGUGGCUGUCCUCAUAAUUCAAGCCCUUGAAUUAGAGUCAGAGACCAACAAUAUGGUGUGAAAUCAAGUCACUCUAUGUGACUAGUGUCAGCUACUACAAUAGUAUGUAUGUGUGUCUGCUUAAUUAGUAGUAUCAUAUUGUAAGCCAGUGUGUGUAUGUUAAGAAUAAUUAAGGUGACAAAAAUGUGUGGUGCAAAAGAUUAUGGGGUUAAGGUUUGUCAUCAGGGCUUGUUUGCCCUGUGUUUGUAAUAUAUGUUUGGAAGUGAGAAUAAGUAGCUGACUUGCUUUAAUUUGUC